GAUGAACGCUGGCGGCGUGCUUAACACAUGCAAGUCGAACGAUGAAGCCCGGCUUGCUGGGUGGAGUAGUGGCGAACGGGUGAGUGACACGCGUGUAACCUGCCCUUAACACUGGGAUAAGCCUGGGAAACUGGGUCUAUUACCGUAGAGGAGCGUCCACCGCAUGGUGGGUGUUGGAGAGAUGUAUCGGUGUUGGAUGGACUCGCGGCCUAUCAGCUUGUUGGUGGGGUAAUGGCUCACCAAGGCGACGACGGGUAGCCGGCCUGAGAGGGGGACCGGCCACACUGGGACUGAGACACGGCCCAGACUCCUACGGGAGGCAGCAGUGGGGAAUAUUGCACAAUGGGCGCAAGCCUGAUGCAGCGACGCCGCGUGAGGGAUGACGGCCUUCGGGUUGUAAACCUCUUUCAGUAGGGAAGAAGCGAAAGUGACGGUACCUGCAGAAGAAGCACCGGCUAACUACGUG
rnacentral:rRNA from 1 species